rnacentral:rRNA from 1 species
GAUGAACGCUGGCGGCGUGCCUAAUACAUGCAAGUCGAGCGAACAGACGAGGAGUAUGCUCCUCUGACGUUAGCGGCGGACGGGUGAGUAACAUGUGGAUAACCUACCUCUAAGACUGGGAUAACUUUGGGAAAUCGGAGCUAAUACCGGAUAAUAUAUUGAACCGCAAUGGUCCAUCGUGGAAGAAGGUUUUGCUGUCACUUAUAGCUGGACCAGCGGCCCAUUCAUUAGUUGGUAAGGUAAAGGAUUACCAAGGCAACGACGCGUACACGACCUGAGCGGGAGGUUCGCUAGACUGGAACAGAGACACGGCCGAGACUCCGACGGGAGGAAGCGGCAGGGAAUCUUCCGGAAUGGACGAAAGGGUAACGGAGGAACGUCGCGUGAGUGAUGAAGGUGUUCGGAUCGGUAAGCUCUGUUAUUAGGGAAGUACAAAUGUGUAAGUAACUAUGCACAUCUUGACGGUACCUAAUCAGAAAGCCACGGCUAACUACGUG